rnacentral:rRNA from 1 species
CCUACGGGAGGCAGCAGUGGGGGAUAUUGGACAAUGGGGGGAACCCUGAUCCAGCGACGCCGCGUGAAGGAAGAAGGCUUUCGGGUUGUAAACUUCUUUUCUGAGGGACGAAGAAAGUGACGGUACCUCAGGAAUAAGCCACGGGUAACUACGGGCCAGCAGCCGCGGUAAUACGUAGGUGGCAAGCGUUAUCCGGAUUGAUUGGGUGUAAAGGGCGGGUAGGCGGGAAAGCAAGUCAGAUGUGAAAACUCAGGGCUCAACCCUGAGCCUGCAUUUGAAACUGUUUUUCUUGAGUGCUGGAGAGGCAAUCGGAAUGCCGUGUGUAGCGGUGAAAUGCGUAGAUAUACGGAGGAACACCAGUGGCGAAGGCAGAAUGCUGGACAGUAACUGACGCUGAGGCGCGAAAGCGUGGGGAGCAAACAGGAUUAGAUACCCGUGUAGUC